CUGUAGUUCUAUGGUCUGGAAGAUGCACCGUCUUCCUUCUGUAGUUCUACGUCUUUACACAUACACCUUAGCAAAGUUUUAUGGAAUGUGUGCCGCGUCUAACGCAAUACAAUACAACUUUCAGCAACGGAUCUCUUGGCUCUCGCAUCGAUGAAGAACGCAGCGAAAUGCGAUAAGUAAUGUGAAUUGCAGAAUUCAGUGAAUCAUCGAAUCUUUGAACGCACCUUGCGCCCCUUGGGUAUUCCGAGGGGCAUGCCUGUUUGAGUAUCAUGAACACCUCAACUCCUCACGGUUUGCUGUGAUGAGCUUGGACUUCUGGAGGUUUUGCUGGCCUGUGGUCGGCUCCUCUCAAAUGGAUCAGCUUGCCAGUGUUUGGUGGCGUCAUGGGUGUGAUAACUAUCUACGCUUGUGGCUGUCUGCUANGUAACCUUCAGCAAUGGGGGUUCGCUGGAGCUCACAAAAGUCUUUCCUCAGUGAAGACAGCUUUUUAACGUUCGAUCUCAAAUCAGGUAGGAUUACCC
rnacentral:rRNA from 1 species